rnacentral:rRNA from 1 species
GAUGAACGCUGGCGGCGUGCCUAAUACAUGCAAGUCGAGCGAACGGACGAGAAGCUUGCUUCUCUGAUGUUAGCGGCGGACGGGUGAGUAACACGUGGAUAACCUACCUAUAAGACUGGGAUAACUUCGGGAAACCGGAGCUAAUACCGGAUAAUAUUUUGAACCGCAUGGUUCAAAAGUGAAAGACGGUCUUGCUGUCACUUAUAGAUGGAUCCGCGCUGCAUUAGCUAGUUGGUAAGGUAACGGCUUACCAAGGCAACGAUGCAUAGCCGACCUGAGAGGGUGAUCGGCCACACUGGAACUGAGACACGGUCCAGACUCCUACGGGAGGCAGCAGUAGGGAAUCUGCCGCAAUGGGCGAAAGCCUGACGGAGCAACGCCGCGUGAGUGAUGAAGGUCUUCGGAUCGUAAAACUCUGUUAUUAGGGAAGAACAUAUGUGUAAGUAACUGUGCACAUCUUGACGGUACCUAAUCAGAAGGCCACGGCUAACUACG